rnacentral:sRNA from 1 species
UGCAUCUGGAGCCAGCGAGGAUGAGAACCUCCGGGGGCGGGAGGUUCGACCCGAGCGAAGCGAGAGAACGUUGCGCGAGCAACGGCCCGCAGGGCG